UACGUAGGGUGCAAGCGUUUAAUCGGAGUUACUGGGCGUAAAGGGCGCGUAGGCGGCGCGGAUAGUCGGCGGUGAAAGCCCGGAGCUCAACUCCGGGUCGGCCGUCGAUACUUCCGGGGCUUGAGCACUGUAGAGGCAGAUGGAAUUCCGGGUGUAGCGGCGGAAUGCGUAGAGAUCCGGAAGAACACCGGUGGCGAAGG
rnacentral:rRNA from 1 species